rnacentral:rRNA from 1 species
UACGUAGGGUGCGAGCGUUGUCCGGAAUUACUGGGCGUAAAGAGCUCGUAGGUGGUUUGUCGCGUUGUUCGUGAAAACCGGGGGCUUAACCCUCGGCGUGCGGGCGAUACGGGCAGACUUGAGUACUGCAGGGGAGACUGGAUUCCUGGUGUAGCGGUGGAAUGCGCAGAUAUCAGGAGGAACACCGGUGGCGAAGGCGGGUCUCUGGGCAGUAACUGACGCUGAGGAGCGAAAGCGUGGGGAGCGAACAGG